CAUGUACUCCUUCCGUCCUAAAAUUUUUGUCUUGGAUUUUUCUAGAUACGGAUGUACCUAAUACUAAAACGUGACUUGAUACAUCCAUAUUUAGACAAGUCUAAGAUAAGAAUUUUGGGACGGAGGGAGUAUAUG
rfam:Triticum aestivum genome assembly, contig: Triticum_aestivum_CS42_TGACv1_scaffold_640821_T_2BS-0.197173_1BL-0.188574